rnacentral:rRNA from 1 species
GCUUACGGCCAUACCACCAUUAGGCACGCCCGAUCUCGUCUGAUCUCGGAAGCUAAGCAGGGUCGGGCCUGGUUAGUACUUGGAUGGUGACCGCCUGGGAAUACCAGGUGCUGUACGCA